rnacentral:rRNA from 1 species
GAGUUUGAUCUUGGCUCAGAUUGAACGCUGGCGGCAUGCUUUACACAUGCAAGUCGAACGGCAGCACGGACUUCGGUCUGGUGGCGAGUGGCGAACGGGUGAGUAAUACAUCGGAACGUACCCAGUAAUGGGGGGAUAACUAUCCGAAAGGAUAGCUAAUACCGCAUACGCCCUACGGGGGAAAGAGGGGGAUCGCAAGACCUCUUGUUAUUGGAGCGGCCGAUGGCUGAUUAGCCAGUUGGUGAGGUAAAGGCUCACCAAGGCGACGAUCAGUAGCGGGUCUUAGAGGACGAUCCGCCACACUGGAACUGAGACACGGUCCAGACUCCUACGGGAGCAGCAGUGGGGAAUCUUGGACAAUGGGCGCAAGCCUGAUCCAGCAAUGCCGCGUGCGUGAAGAAGGCC